UGAUAAAAUUUAAAUGGCCGCAGUACCUUGACUGUGCUAAGGUAGCAUAAUAAAUUGACUCUUAAUUGGGGCCUUGAAUGAACGGAUAAAUGAAUAAUUUCUGUCUUAAAUAAACUUAAUAAAAAUUACUAAGAAGGUGAAAAUUCCUUUAAAUUUAUUUAAUAGACGAGAAGACCCUAGGAGUUUUAAAUUUUGUUGGGGCGACAGUAUAGCAUAAUUAAUAAACCUAUAUAAAUUAAUAUAUAUAAAACGAAUAAUUUUAAUAAUAAAUAAACUACCCUAGGGAUAACAGCAUAAUUUAUAUUUAAGUUUGUGACCUCGAUGUUGGACUAGGAACUUUUAAUAUUAAUAAUAUUAAUUGGUAGUUCUGUUCGA
rnacentral:rRNA from 1 species